rnacentral:rRNA from 1 species
CCAAUAGCGUAUAUUAAAGUUGUUGCAGUUAAAAAGCUCGUAGUUGAACUUCGGGAUCAAUUAAUUGGUCAUGCCGUUGGUAUUUACUGAUUUUAUUGGUUCUCACCUUCUAAAGAACCAUAAUGUCAUUCAUUUGAUGUUAUGGGGAAUUAGGACUGUUACCUUGAAAAAAUUAGAGUGUUUAAAGCAGGCUUACGCUUGAAUACAUUAGCAUGGAAUAAUGAAAUAGGACAUCCGAUUCUAUUUUGUUGGUUUCUAGGAUCGAUGUAAUGAUUAAUAGGGAUAGUUGGGGGCAUUAGUAUUCAAUUGUCAGAGGUGAAAUUCUUGGAUUUAUUGAAGACUAACUACUGCGAAAGCAUUUGCCAAGGAUGUUUUCAUUAAUCAAGAACGAAAGUUAGGGGAUCGAAGACGAUCAGAUACCGUCGUAGUCUUAACCAUAAACUAUGCCGACUAGGGAUCGGAUGAUGUUGAUUUUUUAAUGACUCAUUCGGCACCUUACG